rnacentral:rRNA from 1 species
UACAGAGGGUGCAAGCGUUGCUCGGAAUCACUGGGCGUAAAGGGUGCGUAGGCGGGUCUUUAAGUCAGGGGUGAAAUCCUGGAGCUCAACUCCAGAACUGCCUUUGAUACUGAAGAUCUUGAGUUCGGGAGAGGUGAGUGGAACUGCGAGUGUAGAGGUGAAAUUCGUAGAUAUUCGCAAGAACACCAGUGGCGAAGGCGGCUCACUGGCCCGGUACUGACGCUGAGGCACGAAAGCGUGGGGAGCAAACAGG